GAUGAACGCUGGCGGCGUGCCUAAUACAUGCAAGUCGAGCGAACGGACGAGAAGCUUGCUUCUCUGAUGUUAGCGGCGGACGGGUGAGUAACACGUGGAUAACCUACCUAUAAGACUGGGAUGACUUCGGGAAACCGGAGCUAAUACCGGAUAAUAUUUUGAACCGCAUGGUUCAAAAGUGAAAGACGGUCUUGCUGUCACUUAUAGAUGGAUCCGCGCUGCAUUAGCUAGUUGGUAAGGUAACGGCUUACCAAGGCAACGAUGCAUAGCCGACCUGAGAGGGUGAUGGGCCACACUGGAACUGAGACACGGUCCAGACUCCUACGGGAGGCAGCGGUAGGGAAUCUUCCGCAAUGGGCGAAAGCCUGACGGAGCAACGCCGCGUGAGUGCUGAAGGUCUUCGGAUCGUAAAACUCUGUUAUUAGUGAAGAACAUAUGUGUAAGUAACUGUGCACAUCUUGACGGUACCUAAUCAGAAAGCCACGGCUAACUACGUG
rnacentral:rRNA from 1 species